CACUCCCAGUAACAGCAAGGAAGCAGGCCACCAUCAGACGGAUUAGAGGCCAGGGCUUCUUGGAGGAUAGUAUUGCCUCUAUGGAGUAUAGGGCAGCCCCAGACCCCAGGCCAUGGGCCUCACUUCAAGUUGCAGAGAAUGUUGUCCCAGGAGCUGAGGACUGGCUGCCAAGAGUUUCUGGGAACCCAGCCCGGGCCACUAGCCUGGAGACAGAGCCCCAAACACAUCUGGAGCUGAGUGAAGAACAGCGGUUGCAGAUUUCUAAGGAGCUAGUUGACCUGCAGAUCGCAACCCAUCACCUGCGUGAACAGCAUGAGGCUGAAGUCUUUGAGCUGAGGAGAGAAGUUCUUCGACUGGAAAGUCGGGUGCUAGAGCUGGAAAUGCACGGAACUGGUGCCUGCCAGGGACAGACAGUCCAGCCAGCAGCCAAUCCAGGGCAAUACCAGGUGUCACCACAAGAGCCAUCGGGAGGCCAGCAGAGGCUGCAGGAGGAGCUGAAGUGGGUUCUGGAGCAUCACAGAGUCAGGCAGCAGGCACUGGAGACACAAGUGGGAGCCCUAAGUCGGCAGUUGCAGGGAGCCCGAGAGGAAGCCAGGACAGCUGGUCAGCAACUGGCUGCCCAAGCCAUGGUGAGGGUUUAACCACUCUGGGAGCCUCGGGGCUGGCUGGGAGUCCUACAAACAGAGCACUCUUGGGUACUCCCAGGUGCUGUCCUCCUGUAAGGACCAGCUCCGGCAGGCUGAGGCUGAAAAUGCUCAGCUGCAGCUUCAGCUGAAGAAGCUGAACGAGGAGUACGCCGUCCGGCUGCAGCGCUAUGCCAAAGAGACAGCAGAGACUUCCAGUAGCACAAAUCAGGCAUCUCUCCAAGCUUUCCUGGAGGCUGCUCUGCAGGACAUUCGGGCCGCACACAGAAGCCGAGAGCAGCAGCUGGCCCAAGCAGCCCGGGCCUACCGCAAGCGCCUGGCAGAUCUGAACCAGAGGCAGGAGUUGCUGCUAACCACCUGCAGGGCUACUUUUGCCACAGCCAUCAACCUGGAGCCAUCACCCUUGCACUGGGCCGCUGAACUCAGCCACCCAAGGGAAAAUGAGUAUGGCCCACACAGGACGACACUGCUACUGUACCCAGAGAAGGGAUCUGGUGAAGCUUCCAAGGAGGACAAGUCACAGCCACUGGCCCUAGACACUGCAUCCUGGGUCCAAAUCCAGCAGAAGCUGCAGGACUUCUCCCAGGACACCCAGGCAGAGCUAGAACGGGAACGGGCACAGCUGAUGGUCCGGGCCACCAUGGCAGAACAGCAGCUUUCUGAGUUACAGGAGUAUGUGGACCAGCACUUGGGCAGGUACAAGCAGGAAAUCCUGAAACUGAGGAAGUUGGCGAAUUCAGGAGAUUCCCAAGGAGUAGAAUCUAUGCCUUCCACUAGGCCCCGGCGUCCAAGGACUCAGAGUCACUAGGUAGUCUCCCAGAAAAAGCUCAAAUCAAAUCUCUUCACAGCCAGCAUGGAACCCUCUGGACGCCCACCCCCAGAAGUGAUUCCCAGAAUAUACAAAAGUCAGAACUGAA
rnacentral:lncRNA from 1 species